rnacentral:tRNA from 4 species
CGCGGGAUGGAGCAACCCGGAAGCUCGUCGGGCUCAUAACCCGAAGGUUGUAGGUUCAAAUCCUACUCCCGCAA